AAACCAACCGGGAUUGCCCUAGUAACGGCGAGCGAAGCGGCAAAAGUCCAAAUUUGAAAUCUGGCGUCCUACGGGCGUCCGAGUUGUAAUUUGAAGAUGGUAACUUUGGGUUUGGCUCUUGCAUAAGUUCCUUGGAACAGGACGUCAUAGAGGGUGAGAAUCCCGUUCAUGGUAAGAUGCCCAUUCCUUUGUAAAGUGCCUUCGAAGAGUCGAGUUGUUUGGGAAUGCAGCUCUAAGUGGGUGGUAAAUUCCAUCUAAGACUAAAUAUUGGCGAGAGACCGAUAGCGAACAAGUACAGUGAUGGAAAGAUGAAAAGAACUUUGAAAAGAGAGUGAAAAAGUACGUGAAAUUGUUGAAAGGGAAGGGCUUGAAGUCAGACUUGGUAUUCAGUGAUCAACUGUCUUUCGGGACUGUGCACUCGCUGUUUACUGGGCCAACAUCGGUUUUGGCGGCGAGAUAAAUGCAUUGGAACGUGGCUCUAUCUUCGGGUGGAGUGUUAUAGCCUUUGUAAAUAUCGCCAGCUGGGACCGAGGACUGCGCAUCUGCUAGGAUGUUGGCGUAAUGACUUUAAGCCAC
rnacentral:rRNA from 1 species